AAACAAUCGCCGUCCCGGCGAUUAGGGUAGUUUUGUUGGAGUACCUCUAUCGUUCUCCUUUGCCUGGUUGUCUCUUGGAGUGGCUAUAUGCGUCAUGCUACUUCGUGGCAAUAGUAUAUGUACCUCGCAAAACACAACCAACAACACCCAAAGUAGCAACAAGAUAGAAAAAAAAAUGCGAUAAAAUUGGUGAGUCCUCUUCUCAAUGUUUAUUCAUAUUUCAUUAUACUAGCAACAUUAAUAUAAAUGAAAUAACACAUCAAGGUAAGGAGUGAUACAACUUACACAUAUAAUUUCCUUACCCCUCUGCACGCAAUGCAGUACUCAUCUCCA
rnacentral:lncRNA from 1 species